ACGCAGCGCGGUUGCUGGGCACCUCGACUAUCACCUGACCGUAGUAAUAUCUCCCGCUACGCGCGUUGUGACCAAUGCUGCAUACAGGAGAUGAGGGAGGACGGCCAGACACCUGGAAGCCGGAAAAUGAGUGAAGCUGUGCCUGAUGCUGGGUUGGCCCGGUGUGCAGGGUGCCAGGGUGCAGCGGGAGGGUGGACUAUAUACACCCUGUACAAGAGGUGCUCCUGAAACAGUAGUCAUUUAAAGAGGAGAGAGAAAGGGAGGAAAGGCAGCCAUCAGGUGGCGCACUGAGUCCACACCCCAAAAGGCAAAGGGCUCACCAGGACCUUAAGGACCUCUGCUGCUGCUGCUGCUGCUUCAGGACUCAGUGGCCUUUGAGGAUGUGGCAGUGAACUUCACCCAGGAGGAGUGGGCUUUGCUGGAUCCUUGGCAGAAAAAACUCUACAGAGAUGUGAUGCUGGAAACCUAUAGGAACCUGGCUUCA
rnacentral:lncRNA from 1 species